UCCCUGGUGGCUCAGAUGGUAAAGCGUCUGCCUGCAAUGCAGGAGACCCGGGUUCGAUCCCUGGGUCGGGAA
rnacentral:tRNA from 1 species